CCGCGAGGCGUCAGCGCCGCGCCCCGUGCACACGCACCGGGACCCGCCCUCCGUCCGCCAUUUUUUUUCACCACCUCGGCCAGGAGUCGAGAGCCGAACAUCAACAAGGCGUAAGACCUCUGGAAGAGAGCUGACCGCCCGGGACCGAAACGAUUCUGCCGUAACCGAGCCCCGCCUGAGCUGCUAGCCGAACCGCUUUCGGACCCGCAGCUGCACAGCACGCCUUUUCCGAGUGUGAAUACGUGUUGAGGGCCGCCAUUUUUGUUCCUCUCUAGUAGUCGGGGGUGGGGGCAGAAGGGAAGGCAUUUCGGGCGCCUUUCGGCCGACUCGGCUCCGUAUUGUUGUACAAUCAGCACCGAGUCGCUGUUCCGCUGUAGCGGCAUGGAGGUCGCUGGGCUGGAGUAAGCCGCUCCGACCGGGGACACCUUGUGUCAUUAUUUGCUACUUUUCUCUUCUUUUUCGGAAGAGGUGCGUAAAAGGGGAAGCUGAGCCAGGGUGGAGGGAGCGUCCCCGUCCCCGCAGCGCGGCGUCUGGGGCUCUGGAUGACGCCUGAAGCCGGACAGCGCUGAGCCGCAGACGGGCUAUCAGUCCGCUUCCAUGGGGCGCCCCGGCGUGUGAUAUAUCCAGUCCCAUUCCGCUACUAUUUCAUUUGCCUUAGCGUUUUGCGCUCAUCCCCCCUCCUAAGCAUGUCUUCGGCGCGGUUCGAUUCCUCGGACCGGUCCAGUUGGUAUUUCGGCCCGGUGUCGCGGCAGGAGGCACAGAACCGCCUGCAGAGCCAGCGGCACGGCACCUUCCUGGUGCGGGACUCGUCCACCUGCCCAGGCGACUACGUGCUGUCGGUUUCGGAGAACUCCAAGGUGUCGCACUACAUCAUCAACUCGCUACCCGGCAAGAGGUUCAAGAUCGGGGACCAGGAGUUCGAGCACCUGGCCGCGCUGCUCGACUUCUACAAGAUCCACUACCUGGACACCACCACCCUGAUCGAACCGGCCAGCAGGUACCCCAGCGGGCUUCCCGGGGCCCCGCCCACUGUCUCCGACGACAGCCUGGAGUAUGUGCGUACCCUGUAUGACUUCACCGGCAAUGAUGCAGAGGACCUGCCCUUUCGCAAGGGGGAGAUUCUGGUAAUCCUGGACAAGCCGGAGGAGCAGUGGUGGAGUGCCCGGAACAAAGAUGGCCGUGUGGGCAUGAUCCCCGUGCCCUAUGUGGAGAAGCUGCCCCGGCCAGCUGCCCACCCCGGUACCCUGCCCGCCGGGCACACCUCCCGCAUCUCCAACAGCUAUGGCGUCCCGGAGCCUGCCCACGCCUAUGCGCAGCCACAGACGCCCUCGCCACUGCCACAGGGCCCUGGACCCUUGCCCUCCAUGCAGAACGGCCCCGUCAUGGCCAAGGCCAUCCAGAAGCGGGUGCCCUGUGCCUACGACAAAACUGCACUGGCGCUAGAGGUGGGGGACAUUGUCAAGGUGACACGGAUGAACAUCAGUGGCCAAUGGGAGGGUGAGGUCAACGGCCGGAGGGGGCUCUUUCCAUUCACGCACGUGAAGAUCAUGGACCCCCAGGAUCCCGAUGAGAAUGAGUGAUGGGCCCCACCUCCUGCACCACCAACCCCUCCCUCCACCCUUGUGAUUGGCCAUCUCUCGAACUUUACCUUCUGGGGCAUCUCGCCACCCCUUGCCCCUGCCAAGCCCACUAGCCGCACACAUCUCCACCUGGAAACAGGAACACUUUUGAUUGGAUGGCAGCUGAGGAGGUCACAUACAUUUUUUUAAGUGAACAAGCUGUUUUUUUCAUCUUGCUACCUUUCCUAAUGGUGCUGGCAGCGGCCUGGGCUGAGGCUCUUGGGAAGACAGAUGACAUUCCUGGAAGCUGGGGUGGACCUCAGAUGUGACUGCUUGGGUUUUCUGUACUGUAAUGGCUGAAAUAGCUGAACGUCACUGUCAGAUCCCCCUGAGGUGGGUUAGGGGAUGCGGUGCUUGUGUAGAUCAGUGAAUGUCGUCCAAACGCACUGCACCAGCUUUUCCUCCGCUGCUAAUCCCGCUCGCUCUGCUGACUCUGCAGUUGAUGAGAGGGAGCUCCUCCAGGUGUGAACUCUUCAGAGAGGAAAGCAAUAACUAUUUUCUUUAGGUGAGAUGGUAAACUUUCACACAAAUGUCUGAGGAAAUGGUCUUUAUUGGGAGAAGAGAAGUAACAUUUUGCAGAAAUAUAACCAAUGAAAGGCAGCAAGUGAGCCACAAGUUCAGGUAAAGCACUACAAAAACACACCUGAAGAAUACUUGUUACGCCACAAGGAGUCAAAGUUGAUGUCCUUGGUAUAGUCCACAUCGGGGGCUCCGACCCGGUACAAAUGGCAUAAUCCCCUCCUGUUCUCAGACCUGAGAAUGGGGGUGACCUUUGAACCCUGCUCCUCAUUUUAACAAGGUAGAGUCACAUCAGGCCUCAUUUACAUCCUCUGAAGGCAGUAUAAUUAACUGUGAAAUUCAAAUUAAGCUUUUAAUGCUUAAAGACAAAAAUAACUUUACAAUAUCCACCCCUUUUGCAGACCUGCUCUAUGCUCUUAGCCUGGUGUCCACUCACACUCCUAACCCUAAUCCAUAACCACAGUACACUAAACGCACUUCACUGCUACCCGCUCACUUAACAUGCAUGUCUUUGGUGCCUGGAAGCAAAGUGAAGGACAGAAAAUCCCUGAAGAGCUCAACACAGCUCCAGACCCCCUGGUGCGCUGUGAACACGGCGCCAUCUAGCGGCUCAUCGAGGAAUUUACCACGGUCUUCACUGACAUGGCAACGUUUGGGCCUGAGUGACCUUAAGCGAUGUUCGAGUUUAACACCGUGUUCACUAGGUUUCCUUACUGCCUGAGGUGACACUUCUUUUGUCCGCUAGUCCGCAUUCCAGAGUGAAACACAGAUUUUCUUUUUGCCGUUUUCUAUUCAUCUUUCUUAAAAUUGCACUUCCAGGAAGGGGCAGCAUGGGCCACAGCUUGGACAGGAUGCUGGUACGGUGUAGGGUGCAUAUACUAUGGCAAUUUAUGAUAAUUAAUGUAGAUGUACGAGUGCAGGAGCAAACCCAUGUGACUUAGAGAGAAUGUGAACCGCACACACAUACACACUCACACGGAGAGUAGAGGUGAGCUUUGACCCCAAACCCUGGAGGUUCAAGGAGUUUGCUAAAUACUGAGCCAUUGCGACCUACCAGCCCCUGUUAAUAUAUCUUUCUGUUUACAAUCAUGUAUUAAAUGCAUUAUGUCACACUAUCUGUAUUCCUGGAGUUUGUAUGGUAUACCUCUUGUGUGUCCCACACUGCCGGGGACAGUCAUGUGACACAGACCGUCUGACCCUGUACAGGAGAAGUGGUUUAAAGUUUGAUGGAAUUCAGUAACUACUAUGCAUAAGCAUAUCGAUAAAACAGGUUUAUGGCUGUAGACUAAACAACGGACUCAAGCAAUCAUGUACAGUUUACCCUUAUACAUCGCGGGGGCUUGGGGCGCAGACCCCACGCGAUCUGGAAAAAUGUCGCACCUGGCGAGAAAAGAUACGCGAAACUCAAGAUAGAAAGGUCAUUGCAAGAUCACUGUGAGAUAUCACUGAGAGACUGCCGUAAACACAAACGGCGUCCUCCAAACCAGCACCGUACAGGCAUUUUAUGCAUUU